rnacentral:hammerhead_ribozyme from 1 species
AUCCAGCUGACGAGUCCCAAAUAGGACAAGACAGGUGUCAUGGAU